GACAGCCAGGAUGUUGGCUUAGAAGCAGCCAUCAUUUAAAGAAAGCGUAAUAGCUCACUGGUCGAGUCGGCCUGCGCGGAAGAUGUAACGGGGCUAAACCAUGCACCGAAGCUGCGGCAGCGACACUCAGGUGUUGUUGGGUAGGGGAGCGUUCUGUAAGCCUGUGAAGGUGGCCUGUGAGGGUUGCUGGAGGUAUCAGAAGUGCGAAUGCUGACAUAAGUAACGAUAAAGCGGGUGAAAAGCCCGCUCGCCGGAAGACCAAGGGUUCCUGUCCAACGUUAAUCGGGGCAGGGUGAGUCGACCCCUAAGGCGAGGCCGAAAGGCGUAGUCGAUGGGAAACGGGUUAAUAUUCCCGUACUUGGUGUUACUGCGAAGGGGGGACGGAGAAGGCUAUGUUGGCCGGGCGACGGUUGUCCCGGUUUAAGCGUGUAGGUGUGUGUUCCAGGUAAAUCCGGUUCACUUUAACACUGAGGCGUGAUGACGAGGCACUACGGUGCUGAAGCAACAAAUGCCCUGCUUCCAGGAAAAGCCUCUAAGCAUCAGGUAACAUCAAAUCGUACCCCAAACCGACACAGGUGGUCAGGUAGAGAAUACCAAGGCGCUUGAGAGAACUCGGGUGAAGGAACUAGGCAAAAUGGUGCCGUAACUUCGGGAGAAGGCACGCUGACACGUAGGUGAAGUGAUUUACUCAUGGAGCUGAAGUCAGUCGAAGAUACCAGCUGGCUGCAACUGUUUAUUAAAAACACAGCACUGUGCAAACACGAAAGUGGACGUAUACGGUGUGACGCCUGCCCGGUGCCGGAAGGUUAAUUGAUGGGGUCAGCGCAAGCGAAGCUCCUGAUCGAAGCCCCGGUAAACGGCGGCCGUAACUAUAACGGUCCUAAGGUAGCGAAAUUCCUUGUCGGGUAAGUUCCGACCUGCACGAAUGGCGUAAUGAUGGCCAGGCUGUCUCCACCCGAGACUCAGUGAAAUUGAACUCGCUGUGAAGAUGCAGUGUACCCGCGGCAAGACGGAAAGACCCCGUGAACCUUUACUAUAGCUUGACACUGAACAUUGAGCCUUGAUGUGUAGGAUAGGUGGGAGGCUUUGAAGUGUGGACGCCAGUCUGCAUGGAGCCGACCUUGAAAUACCACCCUUUAAUGUUUGAUGUUCUAACGUGGACCCGUAAUCCGGGUUGCGGACAGUGUCUGGUGGGUAGUUUGACUGGGGCGGUCUCCUCCUAAAGAGUAACGGAGGAGCACGAAGGUUGGCUAAUCCUGGUCGGACAUCAGGAGGUUAGUGCAAUGGCAUAAGC
rnacentral:rRNA from 1 species